rnacentral:rRNA from 1 species
UACGUAGGGGGCGAGCGUUGUCCGGAUUAUUGGGCGUAAAGAGCUCGUAGCGGUUCGAUAAGUCGGGUGUGAAAUCUCCACGCUAACGUGGAGGUGCAUUCGAUACUGUCGUGACUAGAGUCCGGUAGAGGAGUGUGGAAUCCUGGUGUAGCGGUGAAAUGCGCAGAGAUCAGGAGGACACCGUAGCGAAGGCGGCACUCUGGGCCGGAACUGACGCUGAGGAGCGAAAGCGUGGGUAGCGAACAGG